rnacentral:rRNA from 1 species
GAGUUUGAUCCUGGCUCAGAAUGAACGCUGGCGGCAGGGCCUAACACAUGCAAGUCGAACGGCACCUUCGGGUGUAGUGGCGGACGGGUGAGUAACGCGUGGGAACGUACCGUUUUGCUUCGGAAUAGCCUCGGGAAACUGGGAGUAAUACCGAAUGUGCUCUUCGGAGGAAAGAGUUUAUCGGCAAAAGAUCGGCCCGCGUUGGAUUAGCUAGUUGGUGAGGUAAUGGCUCACCAAGGCGACGAUCCAUAGCUGGUUUGAGAGGAUGACCAGCCACACUGGGACUGAGACACGGCCCAGACUCCUACGGGAGGCAGCAGUGGGGAAUCUUAGACAAUGGGCGCAAGCCUGAUCUAGCCAUGCCGCGUGAGCGAUGAAGGCCUUAGGGUUGUAAAGCUCUUUCGCUGGGGAAGAUAAUGACUGUACCCAGUAAAGAAGACCCCGGCUAACUCCGUG